AUUAACAAAUAUGGUGUCAGGGUUUAUGGUAAAUAGAAGCGGGGGAAAGGAAAAAGGUUUAUGGCGCGCAGUGGCUUAUGCUUUUGUUUCGGGUUGGAACUUGGAACCACUUCUCUUUGGAACCGAGGUGCACUCUCAAGUUUGGUGCCCUAAUUUUUGAUUUGGAUGGUUUCAAUAUUAAUGCAAUGCUAUCUCAUACAUGAUUAGCCGUGUUUUCUCCACCCAAUUGCAGAUCCAUAUUUAGGUAAAAUACCCAGAGCCAACAGAAUUGGGGAUAUGGAAUUUUUGAAGUCUAUGAGGAAGAGGUUGGGCUGAUCCUGAGAUCCGCCACCAGUGCUCGGAAAAAAUGAAUCUCAAUAAAAGCCAAAGAUGCUGCCAAGUCCCAUAAACUAAAAGUAACGAAGGAGAAAAGGUAACAAAAUUGCAAUGGUGUCCUGUUACAUCAAUCCUAUCCCUACUAGCUCUCAUCUCAUUUCUGCAGAUUUAUCUAGAAAAUUCAAGAUUCCAAAGCUUCUUCACUGGUGUUGUUCGAAGGCUUGAUCCUUUUAUAGUAGUUUCGGAAAAGAUGACCGUUACAACAACUUUGAGUUGAACUCUUCAAUUUUCUUCUUGAGUUGCUUCGUCUAUCUUCUUUGAUGAUCCUAGAGAUUAUCGUUGAUGCAUUUAAUGUAAGCAUUAAAUUCCUUUUAGUAAAGUGUGUAUCUUUAUUUGAUCUUGUAGACUACUUAUCAUUAUUUUCUUCUAAAAUAAGCAUGGCAGAAGCAACUUCCACAUAGAAUAGUUGAGGUCAGAGCAGAGCAGUCUAAUUUGUAGAGCCUUUUUUGUGAUAUCUGGGAUUUUGCCUUUUGCUCCUUUCAAAAAUUUUAUCUUUUCCUUUUUUAAUAAAAUUCAAGAGUUUCAAAGCUUC